rnacentral:rRNA from 1 species
CACACGACUCUCGGCAACGGAUAUCUCGGCUCUCGCAUCGAUGAAGAACGUAGCGAAAUGCGAUACCUGGUGCGAAUUGCAGAAUCCCGCGAACCAUCGAGUCUUUGAACGCAAGUUGCGCCCGAGGCCACUCGGCUGAGGGCACGCCUGCCUGGGCGUCACGC